GGUGCCAAGUACCACAGUGAAUCUUCAGAAGUCUGGAGUCCAAGUAUCAUCAGGUCAGGGCUGUUUUGGCAUGGUCGAAUGAGAGGGUGGCCUACACAGUACUUGGUGAAGGAUUGCUGUGGAUUUGAUCUGGGGCAACACUACCAGCACACAUUUCUGCACAGAGCAUACUUCACACAAGCCUGGGACUGAUCCUC